AUUGGCCACUGGAACCCGGUCAUAUUCGUGUUUUACAUCUGAGCCAUAAAAACCAGCAAAUUACCUGUUGGGUUGUUUUAGCAAGGAUUCUUGCUUGCUGAUGACAUUUCCCCUGGUGAUAUGCACCAAUUGGAAUUCUCCAGGGUGAUUGCUAUUAUCACAUCAUCAGUAGUUUAUCUUGGGAGCAUUGGGGCUUUGCUGUUUGAAUAACCAAGCCCGGGAGCCUGUGCCAUGGGGGGAAAUGUUUAGUCUGAUGAAGAGAACCCCGUGAGUCCAGCAUCUUCUCGAGACCACGGCUUCUGGCCAGAGCUUAUUUAAGAAAGCAGAAGUAAAAAGGUACAAGAGGAACAUUUGCUUGUUUAAUUGGCCAUAGAUUUUCCUGGCAAUAAUUUGCAGCAAGAUAAGGGACCUCGUCAAGGUCAUGUGUCUGGGCACGGCUGGGUGAGGAAAAGGACUAAGGAAAAUCUGGGUGGUUGCCUUUUUAAAUGAGUUUGCUGAUUUUCCUAGGACUCAUCCAUCAGCUGAUGAAUGUCUACCAUUUAACUAAGAGUUCCUGCCCAACUGGCCUAGCUCUCAGCCUGGACCAGUGGUGUCUGGGUGAAGGCAAAGACGGAGGACCUGUCCUGCGGUCACGAGUACCAAAGGCAUUGGAUCUACACCCCCAAGGCCAGGAAUCUGCCCCAAGGGCCUCUCAGGAAGGAGCUGUGUCCAGAGGGUAGUAUAGCCACUGUUGCGGUGGUGGCGGGGAGGGGACCAGAAGAAUUUUCAGAAGACUGACCCAGUACAGCAGAGCCAGGAGAACCAGAAAGAAGUGGUCUCAGGGACCUGAGGACAAUGGGGACCCCUGGAACAAACCAUGCCUGAAGCUGGCAAGACUCUCUUUGAACUUUUUAAUAAUUGGUUCAUUCAAUGAUGUUACCUUAGACCAAGCUAAGUGCUCUAUCAUUUAC
rnacentral:lncRNA from 1 species